rnacentral:rRNA from 1 species
GACGAACGCUGGCGGCGUGCUUAACACAUGCAAGUCGAGCGAGAAACCUUCGGGUUUCUAGCGGCGGACGGGUGAGUAACACGUGGGUAACCUGCCUCAAAGAGGAGGAUAGCCUUCCGAAAGGAAGAUUAAUACCGCAUAAUAUUUUAGCUUCGCAUGAAGUUGAAAUUAAAGGAGUAAUCCGCUUUGAGAUGGACCCGCGGCGCAUUAGCUAGUUGGAGAGGUAACGGCUCACCAAGGCGACGAUGCGUAGCCGACCUGGGAGGGUGAUCGGCCACAUUGGAACUGAGACACGGUCCAGACUCCUACGGGAGGCAGCAGUGGGGAAUAUUGCACAAUGGGCGAAAGCCUGAUGCAGCAACGCCGCGUGAGUGAUGAAGGUCUACGGAUUGUAAAGCUCUGUCUUUUGGGACGAUAAUGACGGUACCAAAGGAGGAAGCCACGGCUAACUACGUGCCAGCAGCCGCCGUAA